rnacentral:lncRNA from 1 species
CCCGCUCCGGGGCUCUCCGGAAGACGCCUGCGCGCAGGCCGGGGCGGGGUCGCGCCGACGUCCGUGCGCGCGCGGCGGGGUGACGUCACCGCCGCUUUAGAAGAGCGGGCGCGCGCGGCCGAUUGGUGGGAGCUCGCUCCGCCCCGAGGCGGGAGCUGUCUCGUGGCAGGUGGUGCGCGCGAGGGCGCGCCAAAACGGCCUUGAGGAAGCUUCGGGAAAGUGCGCUGGGGGGCGGUCCUACUUGCAGCCCUUUUCAACGGGCGUCGCCGCUUUUACAAGGUCUUGAGAAGGUCCUAGGAAACAAGAGCUCAUGACUGAAAUGGAGUUCAUUUUUGUUUCCUGGUUCCAAGAUUUCGGUGAAGUGGAUCCAGUUGUUUCAUGCCAGUUUUCUUCACUCUGAAGUAAAAUGGUUAGAAUUUUACUUGUUCUGUAUGUGUACUCCAAUGUACUCUACACUCAAAAUAUAUCUAAAAGA